CUCAGUUCGGAUUGUAGGCUGAAACUCGCCUACAUGAAGCUGGAGUUACUAGUAAUUGCAGAUCAGAAUGCUGCGGUGAAUGCGUUCCCGGGUCUUGUACACACCGCCCGUCACACCACGGAAGUUGGGGCGCCCGAAGCCACUUAGCUAACCCUUUUGGGAAGCGAGUGUCGAAGGUGAAAUCAAUAACUGGGGUGAAGUCGUAACAAGGUAUC
rnacentral:rRNA from 1 species